rnacentral:ribozyme from 14 species
AUGUCUGCAAGGGCGCAAACGCGGGGAAAGAGGACGGGAUGAGCUAUGGCAAAACAAUCUCUCUGCGGCGCAGGUCUCGGCGGGCCAACAGCGCGUCCCCCCUUGGGGGGUUGCACGCUCCAGGCGUCGCCACCCCAGACGAACA